CUUCCGCCGGCGACCGGCGCACGGGUGAGUAACACGUAUGCAACCUGCCCCUGUCAGGGGGACAACCCGCCGAAAGGCGGGCUCAACCCGCGUACAUGCCACCGGGGCAUCCCGGAGGCAGGAAAGGCUUCGGCCGGACAGGGAUGGGCAUGCGGCGCAUUAGGCAGUAGGCGGGGUAACGGCCCACCUAACCGACGAUGCGUAGGGGUUCUGAGAGGAAGGUCCCCCACACUGGUACUGAGACACGGACCAGACUCCUACGGGAGGCAGCAG
rnacentral:rRNA from 1 species